CUACAGUUUGUGAAUGCUGUUCAUAGUGUUUUUCUGUUAUAUAAUCUUCUCUAGGAGUUUGAUUUUAAUUUUUUAUACAUUCCAUAUCUUUAUGUGUAUUUGUAGCAUGUAUAGUAGGUAUAAUGACUGCUUUGGUAUCCUCCAUUAGUCUUUAACAUCUGAGUCAUUUAAGUGUUGCUUCGGUUGAGUUUUUUUCCCUUACUAUAUUUUGUGUCUUAUUGCUUCUUUUAUUCACCAUAAAUUAUGUUUUGAUGUCAGGUACUGAAAGACAUACCAUGCUUCAUAUAGAUGCAAAAGGAGGGCAUAAAGGCCUUUUGUGGACAUGGACUGAACAAGCCAGGAGACUGAUAAUUCAAAGCAGAAGGAAUAGGACCACAAGCACAGAUUGUACCAGCUAUCAAGGAAACUGUAAAGAAAAUUCUGUGGCUGUUGGGGAACUGAGUGGAGCCCAAGGUGUGGAUGCUGGACACCUCCCCAUGACCAGUGGAUUACAGAGGAACUUUCAUCUCUAUGAAAAUACUUUCUUCCCCCUGCAGUGCUGUUGCCAGGGAGUAUGGGGGUCACUUUGCUUAGGUAACUUGAUCCCACAAAGUCUU
rnacentral:lncRNA from 1 species